CACAUUCUUCCAUUCUAUUUUUUUAUACACACACUAUGCAAAGGGGUGUGUGUAUAAAAAAACAUUCGCUACAAACAUACAACAUAUACAUGAACUCUUAUUACAAAUACACACAAAUUUCCUCUCGUCUCUUUUUUUUUCAUAAACACACUGUACAAAGGAAGUGUGUAUAUGAAAAAAAACUUACAAAAAUAUACACAUACAUACACACUUUCUUUCAUUUCAUCUUUUUUAUACACACACUUUGCAAAAGAAGUGUGUAUAUAAAAAAGAACAUUUGCUACAAACAUACAACAUAUACAUAACAUUUCCUCUCAUUCCUUUUUUUUCAUAAACACACUGUACAACGGUAGUGUGUAUAUGAAAAAAAAAGAUUCAUACAUAUACACAUACACACACACUUUCAUUCGUUCAUUCCAUCUUUUUCAUACACACACUGUUCAAAUGAAGUGUGUUUAUGAAAAAGAAAAACAUUCACUGCAAACAUACAACAUAAACACACAGGAUAAGAGGAUAAGGAUAGGAUUUUUUCGUUCCGUCAUUCGGCAUACAUCCUCAAUCAUCCAUUCACCAUCCAUCCAUAAUCCAUUAAUCAUCCUUCCAUUAUCCGCCAUCCAUUUUCCAUUCAUUGCUUAUUUGCUACAUACUCCAAAUCUACACAUACACAAUAUCAACACACACAGAUACACACCACACAUACACACAAGAAAAAUGUACAACUCAAACAAAAUGCAAUAAUCACUACAAAGCAAUAUUAGCAAUACAAUGAUGUGAUGCAUAUAGAAAAAACUUACACAAACAAAAUAUAAAACUGUAACAAAAAUCCAAAAAACGAAUAUUUCAUCCUCGCCGCAAAGAUUUUGCAUGCGGCGAGUACGUCUCAGCAACCCUUGGCUAUCGCAAUCCACCGAUCUCGUUUGUGACAUUCCGCUACAUUGCGGCCAGGUGUUUCGACGUUGUUUGUCAGUUAGCACCAUCAUGCUGGUAACUAACGCUUCCUGUAAGAAUAGGCUGGGAUAAGAUUUCGCGAACAUUGUUGGAUUCGGUGUAUCGUUCAAUGGUACAAGCGAUCCAGCUAGCGCCAAUAUAUCAGGAAAUACUUUUUCCGCUGCAGUGAAAUACGCCGGUUGGAUCGUUUGUUCCUUCGAAUUUUUGUAAACUUCAUCCUCUUCGGAACUCCGGUCCCGGCACAAACAGCCACAUGCCCCAAACGUGCGUUUUAACUUCUUCCAACACGUUCUAAGCAAUCCCAUCACGGAGCAAGAAUAAUGUAUGUUCGUUCCUAUCCUAUCCUUAUCCUCUUAUGAUUAUUGUAAGGGUUUGCAUAGCCUAGUGUACUACGAUUGAAUAUCGUCGUUUUGUUUAUUGGUAGCUAUGGAUUUUUUCUUCGGCAAACAACAACGCUAAGGUGUUGAUUUUUCAUGGUUACCUACGACGUUGGGUGGACUGAUUUGCAUCCGUCGUAAAACCGGUUGGAGAGCCUGCGGACAUGGUCAUGAGAAACGUGACCAUCCAGGACGUUCGGACAAAAGAUUGAAACUUUGAUUCGACAAAAUAAAUUGAAAUUUUA